rnacentral:misc_RNA from 1 species
UCUUUGGUGGGGGAGUCGGUUC